rnacentral:rRNA from 1 species
UUGCCUGUAAGUGUAGUUAUUGGGUAAAACUGGUGGUGAAACUUAUAGGAUCACAGUAUGAUAUUAAGUGGGGGUUCCAGUUCAUUUACUUUGAGUAAAUUAGAGUGUUCAAAGCAGCCUCUUGGGGCAUUGAAUAGAUUAGCAUGGGAUAAUAGAAUAGGACUCUUGUCUAUUUAUUGGUUUAUAGAUUUAGAGUAAUGAUUAAUAGGGAUAGUUGGGGGCACUUGUAUUCAAUAGUCAGAGGUGAAAUUCUAGGAUUUAUUGAAGACAAACUUCAGCGAAAGCAUUUGCCAAGGAUGUUUUCAUUAAUCAAGAACGAAAGUUAGGGGGAUCGAAGACGAUUAGACACCGUCGUAGUCUUAACUAUAAACUAUGCCGACCAGGGAUAUGAGGAAAUUACAUUAUGUUAUUCAUUUAACAUAAUUCCUUGUGCACCUUGUGAGAAAUCAUAAGUUUUUGGGUUCUGGGGGGGAGUAUGGUCGCAAGGCUGAAACUUAAAGGAAUUGACGGAGGGGC